CCACAAUUGUGAAAAACCCCCUGCAUUCAAACUGCUCAAAAACUGCCACUGCGUACCGGUACACGGGCCCACGUACCGAUAUACAUCCCACGAAAAUGCCAAACCCGAGCCUCGGAUUUGCCUCAAAACUGCCUGUGUACCGGUACACAAUCCCGUACCGGUACAACCAUCAACCCUAUACCGGUACAACCAUCAACCCUGUACCGGUACACAGCCCAAUAAGGGCUACCCGAGAGCUAACCAAAAAUUCGAU
rnacentral:lncRNA from 1 species